UACGGGGGGGGGCAAGCGUUGUUCGGAAUUACUGGGCGUAAAGGGCUCGUAGGCGGCCAACUAAGUCGGAUGUGAAAUCCCCAGGCUUAACCUGGGAACUGCAUCCGAUACUGGAUGGCUUGAAUCCGGGAGAGGGAUGCAGAAUUCCAGGUGUAGCGGUGAAAUGCGUAGAUAUCUGGAGGAAUACCGGUGGCGAAGGCGGCAUCCUGGACCGGCAUUGACGCUGAUGAGCGAAAGCCAGGGGAGCAAAGCGGG
rnacentral:rRNA from 1 species